CGGGACACGUGGUAUCCUGUCUGAAUAUGGGGGGACCAUCCUCCAAGGCUAAAUACUCCUGACUGACCGAUAGUGAACCAGUACCGUGAGGGAAAGGCGAAAAGAACCCCGGCGAGGGGAGUGAAAAAGAACCUGAAACCGUGUACGUACAAGCAGUGGGAGCACGCUUAGGCGUGUGACUGCGUACCUUUUGUAUAAUGGGUCAGCGACUUAUAUUCUGUAGCAAGGUUAACCGAAUAGGGGAGCCGAAGGGAAACCGAGUCUUAACUGGGCGUUAAGUUGCAGGGUAUAGACCCGAAACCCGGUGAUCUAGCCAUGGGCAGGUUGAAGGUUGGGUAACACUAACUGGAGGACCGAACCGACUAAUGUUGAAAAAUUAGCGGAUGACUUGUGGCUGGGGGUGAAAGGCCAAUCAAACCGGGAGAUAGCUGGUUCUCCCCGAAAGCUAUUUAGGUAGCGCCUCGUGAAUUCAUCUCCGGGGGUAGAGCACUGUUUCGGCAAGGGGGUCAUCCCGACUUACCAACCCGAUGCAAACUGCGAAUACCGGAGAAUGUUAUCACGGGAGACACACGGCGGGUGCUAACGUCCGUCGUGAAGAGGGAAACAACCCAGACCGCCAGCUAAGGUCCCAAAGUCAUGGUUAAGUGGGAAACGAUGUGGGAAGGCCCAGACAGCCAGGAUGUUGGCUUAGAAGCAGCCAUCAUUUAAAGAAAGCGUAAUAGCUCACUGGUCGAGUCGGCCUGCGCGGAAGAUGUAACGGGGCUAAACCAUGCACCGAAGCUGCGGCAGCGACGCUUAUGCGUUGUUGGGUAGGGGAGCGUUCUGUAAGCCUGUGAAGGUGUGCUGUGAGGCAUGCUGGAGGUAUCAGAAGUGCGAAUGCUGACAUAAGUAACGAUAAAGCGGGUGAAAAGCCCGCUCGCCGGAAGACCAAGGGUUCCUGUCCAACGUUAAUCGGGGCAGGGUGAGUCGACCCCUAAGGCGAGGCCGAAAGGCGUAGUCGAUGGGAAACAGGUUAAUAUUCCUGUACUUGGUGUUACUGCGAAGGGGGGACGGAGAAGGCUAUGUUGGCCGGGCGACGGUUGUCCCGGUUUAAGCGUGUAGGCUGGUUUUCCAGGCAAAUCCGGAAAAUCAAGGCUGAGGCGUGAUGACGAGGCACUACGGUGCUGAAGCAACAAAUGCCCUGCUUCCAGGAAAAGCCUCUAAGCAUCAGGUAACAUCAAAUCGUACCCCAAACCGACACAGGUGGUCAGGUAGAGAAUACCAAGGCGCUUGAGAGAACUCGGGUGAAGGAACUAGGCAAAAUGGUGCCGUAACUUCGGGAGAAGGCACGCUGAUAUGUAGGUGAAGUCCCUCGCGGAUGGAGCUGAAAUCAGUCGAAGAUACCAGCUGGCUGCAACUGUUUAUUAAAAACACAGCACUGUGCAAACACGAAAGUGGACGUAUACGGUGUGACGCCUGCCCGGUGCCGGAAGGUUAAUUGAUGGGGUCAGCGCAAGCGAAGCUCUUGAUCGAAGCCCCGGUAAACGGCGGCCGUAACUAUAACGGUCCUAAGGUAGCGAAAUUCCUUGUCGGGUAAGUUCCGACCUGCACGAAUGGCGUAAUGAUGGCCAGGCUGUCUCCACCCGAGACUCAGUGAAAUUGAACUCGCUGUGAAGAUGCAGUGUACCCGCGGCAAGACGGAAAGACCCCGUGAACCUUUACUAUAGCUUGACACUGAACAUUGAGCCUUGAUGUGUAGGAUAGGUGGGAGGCUUAGAAGUGUGGACGCCAGUCUGCAUGGAGCCGACCUUGAAAUACCACCCUUUAAUGUUUGAUGUUCUAACGUUGACCCGUAAUCCGGGUUGCGGACAGUGUCUGGUGGGUAGUUUGACUGGGGCGGUCUCCUCCUAAAGAGUAACGGAGGAGCACGAAGGUUGGCUAAUCCUGGUCGGACAUCAGGAGGUUAGUGCAAUGGCAUAAGCCAGCUUGACUGCGAGCGUGACGGCGCGAGCAGGUGCGAAAGCAGGUCAUAGUGAUCCGGUGGUUCUGAAUGGAAGGGCCAUCGCUCAACGGAUAAAAGGUACUCCGGGGAUAACAGGCUGAUACCGCCCAAGAGUUCAUAUCGACGGCGGUGUUUGGCACCUCGAUGUCGGCUCAUCACAUCCUGGGGCUGAAGUAGGUCCCAAGGGUAUGGCUGUUCGCCAUUUAAAGUGGUACGCGAGCUGGGUUUAGAACGUCGUGAGACAGUUCGGUCCCUAUCUGCCGUGGGCGCUGGAGAACUGAGGGGGGCUGCUCCUAGUACGAGAGGACCGGAGUGGACGCAUCACUGGUGUUCGGGUUGUCAUGCCAAUGGCACU
rnacentral:rRNA from 1 species